rnacentral:lncRNA from 1 species
UAAGGCCAUGUUAAAAAAGAUUAUAAAUGAAUUGACCAUUUUGAUAUUAGAACGUAUACAGUAAAUAACACGUGUAAAAAUGCAGUCAUUUUAGAUCCCCUGGGGAAAACAGCAGUAAUUCUUCCUCAUGUGAGAAGAAUGGAAAGAAUGCCAUCAAAAGAGGCCCGAUCAAUAUAUUAUCUUCAGAACAAACAAGGGAACUAUACGCGAGGGCUAUGGAUGGAUAUUAUAGAUGAGGGAUUCUGUUGUCAUAACCACUUGGAAAACCCGGCAGGAUGCACAUCCAAUUCAUAAAAUAAAUAGUCAACUUAUUAUUCAGGUUUAGCUAAAUUUUGGUGAGCUUGGCAAAAUUUGUCAUUGUGGAAAUGUACUGUGAACUCAAAGAACUCAAACCCUCGUUUUGUUGAAGAGGCAGCUUUCCCCAGAAUUGAAUAGAAAACAGGGAGUUAAGUGCCUCAUCCCCCAACUUUCAUUAACCCUCAGAGGAACGGAAAGGCUGUAUACAUUACCACCGUGGCUGUCUCUUUUCCCCUUGGAGGUACUGAAGCGAAGCCAGAAUAAGUAUCUUGCUUAAUGGGAAUGCACAGUUCAGUCAGGGGCUGCUAAGAGAACCCUACACUUUCUAGCUCUCUGCCAGCCCAGUGUGUCUCCCAGUUCACUUUCCCCAAGCACCCAAUUUCCGAUAAUCUAUGCACUCCUUCACUUUCUCUAUUAACUCAACCAUAUGUUGCUGGAUUUCUUUUUUUUUUCUUUUCUCUCUCUCUCUCUUUUUUUUUUUUUUUUUUUUUUUUUUUUUUUUUUUUUAAAGACAUUUGUAUGACUCUCUGUUCCCUGCUGAAGUUGUCAUUAAUACACUUGACUUGGUCAUUUUCGUUCUUGAUCUUCUAGAAUAGGAUUGCUCUUUCCCACCUCCUUUGAAACUAGGUGUGGUCGUGUGAAUUGCUUUUGGUCUCGCCACAUGAGUUGAAAAGACAAGGGAUAGGGAGUUCCCAUCGUGGCUCAGUGAUUAACGAAUCCAACCAAGACCCAUGAGGUUGCAGGUUCAAUCUCUGGCCUUGCUCAGUGGGUUAAGGAUCUGGCAUUGCCGUGAGCUGUGGUGUAGGUUGCAGACGCGGCUCGGAUCCCGAGUUGCUGUGGCUCUGGCGUAGGUCAGCGGCUACAGCUCCAAUUUGACCCCUAGCCUGGGAAUCUCCAUAUGCCGUGGAAGCGGCCCAAGAAAUAGCAAAAAAAAAAAAAAAAAAAAAAAAAAAAAAG